UACAGAGGUCUCAAGCGUUGUUCGGAUUCAUUGGGCGUAAAGGGUGCGUAGGUGGCGCUGUAAGUCGGGUGUGAAAUUUCGGAGCUUAACUCCGAAACUGCAUUCGAUACUGCGGUGCUUGAGGACUGGAGAGGAGACUGGAAUUCAUGGUGUAGCAGUGAAAUGCGUAGAGAUCAUGAGGAAGACCAGUGGCGAAGGCGGGUCUCUGGACAGUUCCUGACACUGAGACACGAAGGCCAGGGGAGCAAACAGG
rnacentral:rRNA from 1 species